UCCUCGUUACCGAGGCAGUCUACCUAGAAAAAUACAACUAAGUAUAAGGGUUGCGCUCGUUGAUGGACUUAACCAAACAUCUCACGACACGAGCUGACGACGGCCAUGCAUCACCUGUCACCAAGUUCAAUAAAGCACUCACUGCUUUCGCAGUAAUUCUUGGGAUGUCAAACCCUGGUAAGGUUCUUCGUUUAUCAUCGAAUUAAAGAACACGCUCCACCGCUUGUGCGGGUCCCCGUCAAUUCCUUUAUGUUUUAGUCUUGCGACCGUACUCCACAGGUGGGAUACUUAACGCGUUAGCUUCGCUACGGAAGGGGUCGAUACCCCCCACAGCUAGUAUCCAUCGUUUACGGCGUGGACUAC
rnacentral:misc_RNA from 1 species